CAGCGGUCUUUGAGAAUAGAUACAAAACUUUUGCAUUUAAACAGACUUGAGCCAGUGUAAAUAAUUGGCCUCCUACGUUUGAGAAAGAGAGAGGGAGAGCAAAGAUCCAAAAACUUAAAAUCCCGCCUUCUUCUACUUUGCCUGUUCAACGAAUUCUUCUUCUUCUUGUAAAACUCUUUUGGAAAUUGAUCGAUUGAUGGAUUUAGAAAAGCUUUUGACGAAAAAGGGAAAGGGCAUUCGAUGAAUCUAAAAUUAUUUUUCUUCAUGGUUUGAUCAAUAGUGCUAUUCAUGCAAGCUCCGAAUUAUGUGUGGCCUCUAAAGGGUUUUAGGAGGGUUUAUUAAUCAAUGGACUAUUGUCGGUGUCGAGAAGAUUCUUUUCCGCCUUGUUGUGCUUGUAUUGGUCCGGUCUCUUCAGUUGUGCAAAAGAGGGCUUGAAUAGGGGAGCAUGGUCGGUUUACGGGGAUCAGAUACUCAUUGACUACAUCACCACUCAUGGAGAAGGAAAAUGGAGAGAACCUCCUUAAAAAGCAGGAAGAGUUGCAGGCUUCAAUGGUUGAAUUAUCUGAGGCCAGAUAUCAAGAGAGGAAACAUUUCCGCAGAAGAAGAGGAGCUUCUCAUCAAACUUCAUAGACUUCUGGGUAACAGGAUAGUCUUGUUGCUUUGGCUGCUCAUGCAUCUGAACCUAGUGAAGCAGAAAGACUAAAAUUUUUGGCAUCACCUGAGGGAAGGGUCCAUAGUUACCAUUUUUCCCUUGAUAGUGCUACAGUAUUUAUUUGGGUUAUUUUCUUGUUAUGAUUGCAUGGCUAUCACUUAGUACCUUUCUUUAUAUUUUUAAUUUGUUUUUAUUAUCUUUUCUAUUUCCAAGAUGAGUAUUCGCAAUGGGUUGUUGAGAGUCAGAGAAGUCUCUUGGAAGUGAUGGCUGAAUUCCCGUCAGCUAAACCUACCUUUGGUUUUUUUUGCUGCAAUAGCUCCUCGUUUAUAGGCACGGUACUAUUCAACUUCGUCCUAUCCAAGGUGAUUUGAAGAGUCCUUGGCAUGGACGAAUAUUAAAGAGUUUUGCUUGAAUUUCUGUUUCACCAUUAGGAAGCAUUGGUCAUUUGAAAAACUAUCAAUGCAAAUUGCUUCUUGUGUAUUAGAUUUUGUUUUGGAUAUUCAAAUACAUGUAUUUGAAUAAUUUGUUUUGGAUAUUAUGUAACUAAUCUUUAAA